rnacentral:rRNA from 1 species
UGGGGAAUCUUGCACAAUGGGCGAAAGCCUGAUGCAGCAACGCCGCGUGAGCGAAGAAGGCCUUUGGGUCGUAAAGCUCUGUCGGUAGGGAAGAAGGAAGUGACGGUACCUACCGAGGAAGCCCCGGCUAACUACGUGCCAGCAGCCGCGGUAAUACGUAGGGGGCGAGCGUUAUCCGGAAUUAUUGGGCGUAAAGAGUACGUAGGCGGUUUUUUAAGCGAGGGGUAUAAGGCAGCGGCUUAACUGCUGUUGGCCCCUCGAACUGGAGGACUUGAGUGUCGGAGAGGAAAGCGGAAUUCCUAGUGUAGCGGUGAAAUGCGUAGAGAUUAGGAGGAACACCAGUGGCGAAGGCGGCUUUCUGGACGACAACUGACGCUGAGGUACGAAAGCGUGGGGAGCAAACA